rnacentral:rRNA from 1 species
ACACUCCUACGGGAGGCAGCAGUGAGGAAUAUUGGACAAUGGGUGGAAGCCUGAUCCAGCCAUCCCGCGUGCAGGAAGACGGCCCUAUGGGUUGUAAACUGCUCUUAUCUGGGGAUAAACCUACUUACGUGUAAGUAGCUGAAGGUACCAGAAGAAUAAGCACCGGCUAACUCCGUGCCAGCAGCCGCGGUAAUACGGAGGGUGCAAGCGUUAUCCGGAUUUAUUGGGUUUAAAGGGUCCGUAGGCGGACUGAUAAGUCAGUGGUGAAAUCCGACAGCUUAACUGUCGAACUGCCAUUGAUACUGUUAGUCUUGAGUAAGGUUGAAGUGGCUGGAAUAAGUAGUGUAGCGGUGAAAUGCAUAGAUAUUACUUAGAACACCAAUUGCGAAGGCAGGUCACUAAGUCUUAACUGACGCUGAUGGACGAAAGCGUGGGGAGCGAACAGGAUUAAAAACCCCAGUAAUCCCAU